UUUCCCACUAAUUUUAUAUUGUUUUUAUUUCCAACAGUCAUUUUAAUUCAAAAGAUUGUGUUUGAAAAAAUUAUUACCUUUAAAGACAAUUUAACAGCCUUGUCCAACUUAACAAAGUGAUGAGAAUUAAUUAGCUUCACAUAUUGGUAGACCUUGAUUGUGAAUAAUCUUAAUUUAAAUCAUAUUAUGUUUCCUUCCAGUUUGAUGAUUUCAUUUGUGCUAAUUUGAUCUUUAUUUUUAAGUCAAGAGACUGAGGAUAAUAAUUUUAAUUACUUUUGACAGUUUUAAUGGGUAAAAAAGAAAAUGUUUAAUUUGGCUAAAGUAAUUGCUUCAGAGGACAGUCAAUACUUGACCAUUUUUACCACCUUUUAUUAGUCUAUUGUUCACUUUUUGCAACAUUUUUAAUUUCCCUUGGUUGGUUAAACCAAUUGAUUAAACCGGUGAUUAUUGUCACUUUUAUUUUCAACUAGAAUUUAGUCAUAAUCAACCUGAAAGACCUAACCUGAUUAGGUGUAUCAUUAUUAAACUGUAUCCAUAACCUGACAUCAUAGUCUCAAUGAGCCUUCAAAUGUUAUAGGUGUUUGCGUGGGUUAAAGUGAGCAAAAGGGUAUUGGAUGAAGGAUCAGUUGUUUUAACAUGAAGGUUAUUACAAUUGGUUGGUUCACUUCGAAUGGUAGUUUGGCUUUUACUUUCACUGGUCAUUACAACAAUUAUAUUUCCACAACUUUAGUUAAGACAGUUACGAGUUUUGAGUUUUCCAAUUAAAUUUUUUGUAUAAUUUUAAAGUUGGCAGUGAGAGAGGAGACUUUACAAAUUUACUUGUUAUUUAAUUAAAAAAAAGAGGAAACAGAGAAACGAUAAGUAUAAUUUUAAAUUGGUUCACUAUUAUUGUUAGUAAAUUGUUUGCCUUUUCAUUUCUCUCUGUCACCUUUUAUUCCUCUCCUUACUUAAUUACCAUACAUACAGUACAUUUACACACAGAGACACGUACACAAUAACAUAUUGGUGUCUUCAUUGACGAUUUAUCUGAUUGUUAUUGUUAGUAUUACAUUAUCAAUUUGUAUUUUAUAACUUUGCUAAUUUGUUGUUUUUUUACAGUUUUGAUCAAAUAGAAGAGAACAAAAAGUAAAGAAGAGAAAAAUUAUUCCAAUUUGAUGAUUAUGGCCACAGAAUUUACUUAUUGAUGAUCCAGAUGUAAAACGAAUGGUUAAUGGUAGCAUUGAAGCCUAUGGAAUGUUAAGAUGGUCAAAUUAAAAUGGUAUUUCUAAUUAUCUAACUAGAGCGUUUUCCAUGCUGGAUGGUUUACAUUGAAUUUAAAGAUUCAAUGUUGGAUGAAGCUAAAUCUGGGUUUUCGUUGCCAUAAAAUGAUGACAAAUAUUCGCUCCAAAAAUUGGCUGAUCAGGUUGAGUUCCCGAAGGUUUUGGCUUCAUGUCUAGAACGAUUGACGCGUCACUUUACCCGGGACUUGAUCACAUUCUAUGGCGUUUUCUGGUCGUUUUAAUGGUUACUUUGGCUUAUUCCCAUGAGAAGUAGCGAUUGUUUAACACCUCAUGAAUUGUUUCACAUUUGACAUUUCCAAGAAUUUCUAACGUUUUCUUGAAAUGGUUUUGGGUUUCGCAAGACGCUUGGUUUAUAAAAAUGGUGAUAAUUGGAAGCAGGAAUUUGCUACAAUACUUGAUGCUGAUUAGUUUGGUAUUUAUCACGAGUGACCGCACAAAAUGGUUGGAAAGGUUAAACGUGAACUUCACUUUAACAAUUAUUUGAUCCAAUUUUGUUCAUCUUUAUCUUUCGAGUUGAUCUUGCAAUCAGAAGAAAAUGGUCAAAUUUAUGUCAACCACAGACACAAUUGAAAACCAAUGCAAGUUAUGUUCUUUCGAUGAAUUUUUCAAAUCCCAAAGCUUUCAAUGUUGUCUGUUAACUGAAAAAUUAAAAAUCUAUUGAGCUUUGUUUGAUUUUUCAAUUUGUGCAUAAAUGUGACAAUUUUGUUAAUUGUGUCUUUUCAGUAACAACCCAUUUAAUCCUAGGAUCAUCCUCUCCAAAUUUGGCGACAGUUUAUUUUUGCUGUUAAUUAUCUUUUAAAACAAAGCACCAUUUUUAUUUGUCCUCUUCUGCUUGCAAAAGCUGCUCACGGGUUUAACUCAACAAU